AUCCUGGUCGGACAUCAGGAGGUUAGUGCAAUGGCAUAAGCCAGCUUGACUGCGAGCGUGACGGCGCGAGCAGGUGCGAAAGCAGGUCAUAGUGAUCCGGUGGCUCUGAAUGGAAGGGCCAUCGCUCAACGGAUAAAAGGUACUCCGGGGAUAACAGGCUGAUACCGCCCAAGAGUUCAUAUCGACGGCGGUGUUUGGCACCUCGAUGUCGGCUCAUCACAUCCUGGGGCUGAAGUAGGUCCCAAGGGUAUGGCUGUUCGCCAUUUAAAGUGGUACGCGAGCUGGGUUUAGAACGUCGUGAGACAGUUCGGUCCCUAUCUGCCGUGGGCGCUGGAGAACUGAGGGGGGCUGCUCCUAGUACGAGAGGACCGGAGUGGACGCAUCACUGGUGUUCGGGUUGUCAUGCCAAUGGCACUGCCCGGUAGCUAAAUGCGGAAGAGAUAAGUGCUGAAAGCAUCUAAGCACGAAACUUGCCCCGAGAUGAGUUCUCCCUGAGACUUAGAGUCUCCUGAAGGAACGUUGAAGACGACGACGUUGAUAGGCCGGGUGUGUAAGCGCAGCGAUGCGUUGAGCUAACCGGUACUAAUGAACCGUGAGGCUUAACCUUACAACGCCGAAG
rnacentral:rRNA from 1 species